CAGCUCUGAUUGGCAGCAUGUCAAUUAUAGUUGGAGUGACACAGACCAGAUUAGUGUGGUCCCUGCACAAGGAUGGCCCAUGAAUUCAUGAAGCAGCCUAUAUUUUU
ensembl:snRNA U6 U6 spliceosomal RNA